rnacentral:rRNA from 1 species
GACGAACGCUGGCGGCGUGCUUAACACAUGCAAGUCGAACGGUAAGGCCCUUCGGGGUACACGAGUGGCGAACGGGUGAGUAACACGUGGGUAAUCUGCCCUGCACAUCGGGAUAAGCCUGGGAAACUGGGUCUAUUACCAAUUGGGACACAGGACACCUUGUCCUGGGGGGAAAGCCUUUUCGGGGUGGGAUGGGCCCGCGGCCUAUCAGCUUGUUGGUGGGGUGAUGGCCUACCAAGGCGACGACGGGUAGCCGGCCUGAGAGGGUGUCCGGCCACACUGGGACUGAGAUACGGCCCAGACUCCUACGGGAGGCAGCAGUGGGGAAUAUUGCACAAUGGGCGAAAGCCUGAUGCAGCGACGCCGCGUGGGGGAUGACGGCCUUCGGGUUGUAAACCUCUUUCACCAUCGACGAAGGUCCGGGUUUUCUCGGGCUGACGGUAGGUGGAGAAGAAGCACCGGCCAACUACGUG